GGGGCCUUAGUUCAGCUGGCUAGAACGCAUCAUUUGCAAUGAUGAGGUCGUGGGUUCGACUCCCACAGGCUCCA
rnacentral:tRNA from 1 species